CUACAGCGAAGAGCUUUAUAUUGUGAGAAUCACAAGACCCAGACCUACAUUUUGAUGCAUAGUAUGUUUCUGAAGUAUUAAAAAUGAAGGCACAGUCGCAGUUUAGAAAUUGCACUUCAAAUUUGAGCUUUGUAGAGUGAAGUUUCAAUGAAUGUCAAUGGACGGCGUUGGUUGCAAACAAAUGAUUAUAUUGUGAAAACUAUCAGGACCAUGGCUUAG